AUUGAACGCUGGCGGCAGGCCUAACACAUGCAAGUCGAACGAGUGGCGGACGGGUGAGUAAUGUCUGGGAAACUGCCUGAUGGAGGGGGAUAACUACUGGAAACGGUAGCUCAUACCGCAUACACUCGGAUGUGCCCAGAUGGGAUUAGCUAGUAGGUGGGGUAACGGCUCACCUAGGCGACGAUCCCUAGCUGGUCUGAGAGGAGGACCAGCCACACGGGAACUGAGACACGGGCCAGACCCCUACGGGAGGAAGCAGUGGGGAAUAUUGCACAAUGGGCGAAAGCCUGAUGCAGCCAUGCGGCGUGUAUGAAGAAGGCCUUCGGGUGGUAAAGUACUUUCAGCGGGGAGGCGUUACCCGCAGAAGAAGCACCGGCUAACUCCGUGCCAGCAGCCGCGGUAAUUC
rnacentral:rRNA from 1 species